rnacentral:tRNA from 1 species
UGCGGAUUGGUGUAACGGUAGCACGACUGACUCUGGAUCAGUUUGUUGAGGUUCGAAUCCUUAAUCCGCAGCCA